UGAAGACGUAGGCUGUAAAUCUACAGAGUAUUUCCUGAAUGGGUCACUCUUCAAGAGGAGAAGCCCUUCACAACAGCUUAUCUGCUGCGCUGCUACUCUUUCUCACAAUAAUGACACACCCAAUGGAUGAUUUUUUCUAUCCUCGGCCAAAACGCAGCCAAGGCCUACACACCCAGGAAAGCGGUGAUGCUGGUCUCUCCUCCAACAUGGAGCACACGUUUAGUGAUGAUUACAAUGAAAAUGCUUCACCUGUGGCAGAUAAAGGCAGCUUUGUAAUACCCAUUCCUAAAGAGGAACUAGACAACACUGAGUGUUUUGGAAUGGCGGAAGAGGAGAUGCAACACCCAUCUGUGUUUAGACCGCCUCCUAGUUCAAACACGAUGAUCUUGUCCUUGAUGGGCCACACAAAGCCUGAGUCACACUCUGUGGUUGCUGAGGAGCCAUUAUUAGACCCAUCCACUCUUGUUUUGGAGAAAAAAAACAUUCCACCACAAGCCACGCUGAUAGAGAAAGGCCCGGAAGAGAAAACUGUCCACACUUUACCCGGAACCACAACCAUUUCGGAGGGAGAGGUAGAUACAGAGGUAGAGGGAGAAGAGAAGCGAAAUAUGGACACUGGUGUAAACCCUGUGAAACCAAGAGGCCACCACAGGAAAAGAUCUCCAGGGAGGAACUGGAAAUGGUUUCUGGCAUUUAUACUCAUCACUCAUGUCUCCAUGGGCUUUGCUGAAACUCACCCUGCAGGGGACCAAAGGUCUCAGUGCUUCACCUGCAUGGACAGGGAGAAAUGCCCACAUUUGCUGACGAUAUAUGAUCCUUCAGAUACUCUCCUGUUCUCUAGAGACCCCAAUCAAGCACUACCAAAUUGCUCUGCAGUCUUUUCACCUCCCUCUAUGAGCUGUACUGUGUGCUGUGACCAGACCAAUGUCACCAUCUACUGCUCAGUGGAUGUAGGAGAAGAACUGGAGGUGGAGGCCAGUGAUGGAUCACAGAUUGAAAAUAUCUCUCCUGUCUGUAAGUGAACAGCAGCCCCGUGGCCGUGCACAUGUUGGAUUGAUUUCUAGCCCUGGUCUCUUUUUGAUCGUGAUUGGAGCACUUGUGAUUUAGCAAGAUUAAAAAUGGUGAAGAGCAGUGCAUGAUCAAAAUGAAGACAGCAGAGGUCAUUCCUUCACCGAGCUAUUUUCAUUUACGCCUAAUCAAACCUUUUGCAUUUCACCUUUUUUCAGUUGAAAUUGCUUCCAUAUACCAUAUAGAUAAAAUGAAAAAAAAAGCUGAUAAUUCUGUUUUAAAUUCUGCAAAAAUUGCCAAAUGAACUUGUGUAUCUGUUCUUUUGAUUAAAAAAAUUGCUGUAAACA